CAAGGAAUAGACCUCUUCUUUAUGAGUCCCUGUGUUCAUUUGAAUCUCUUCUAUGUCUCCCUAUGUUUUCUCCAGUGUUUCUCUUCCAGGACAUUCUGGUAUAUCCUGACAGUAGGAAACAGGAGAACCAGGAGGAAAUCCAUACAAGCACAUGGAGAAUAUGCAUAGAAACUCCACUCUGACAGUAACCUGAGCUCAGGAUCAAACUGGGGACCCUGGAGCUGUGAGGCAGCAACACUCUCCACAAAACAGGACACUGUUUCCAUUCUCAGGCUGCAAACUAGAGACCUCAGUGUGACCAGAGGGGAUGGCUGAAGAGCACUUACCAUGAAGGCUCUGUCCUAUGCUCUUUGGCAUAAUGAGACUUGACAUGUGCUGUGCUGUGUGAACACUAUCUGAAGAGAAUGUGUGAGGCUAGGGGUAUGUGUGAUGUGUUGCAGGUGCCAGGGUUUAACAACCAUUUGAAAACAAUGACGCUAUAUACUGUAUGAGUCCUUCUGAUCUUGGCCUUUUUUUUUUUUAAAUAGAAAAGAUUAAAAAAAUAUGAAAUACA